rnacentral:rRNA from 1 species
GCGAGAAAACUUUGCAAUGUGCGAAAGCACGACAAGGUUAAUCCGAGUGGUUUCUGCUAAAGAAACCUUUUGUCAGUCCUAGAAACACUAACGAAUAAGGGGUGGGCAAGUUCUGGUGUCAGCCGCCGCGGUAAAGCCAGCACCUCAAGUGGUCAGGAUGAUUAUUGGGCCUAAAGCAUCCGUAGCUCGUUUUGUAAGUUUUCGGUUAAAUCCAUGCGCUUAACGUAUGGGCUGCCGGGAAUACUGCAUAACUAGGAAGUGGGAGAGGUAGACGGUACUCGGUAGGAAGGGGUAAAAUCCUUUGAUCUAUUGAUGACCACCUGUGGCGAAGGCGGUCUACCAGAACACGUUCGACGGUGAGGGAUGUAAGCUGGGGGAGCAAACCGGAUUAGAUACCCUCGUAGUCCCUGAGCGGGCUGGCAAGGCGCAU